UACGUAGGUAGCAAGCGUUGUCCGGAUUUACUGGGCGUAAAGAGCGCGCAGGCGGUCGAUCAAGUCGCGUGUGAAAGCCCCCGGCUCAACUGGGGAGGGUCACGCGAUACUGAUCGACUCGAAGGCAGGAGAGGGUAGUGGAAUUCCCGGUGUAGUGGUGAAAUGCGUAGAUAUCGGGAGGAACACCAGUGGCGAAGGCGACUACCUGGCCUGUUUCUUGACGCUGAGGCGCGAAAGCUAGGGGAGCAAACGGGG
rnacentral:rRNA from 1 species